AUUGAACGCUGGCGGCAGGCCUAACACAUGCAAGUCGAACGGUAGCACAGAGGAGCUUGCUCCUUGGGUGACGAGUGUCGGACGGGUGAGUAAUGUCUGGGAAACUGCCCGAUGGAGGCGGAUAACUACUGGAAACGGUAGCUAAUACCGCAUAACGUCGCAAGACCAAAGAGGGGGACCUUCGGGCCUCUUGCCAUCGGAUGUGCCCAGAUGGGAUUAGCUAGUAGGUGGGGUAACGGCUCACCUAGGCGACGAUCCCUAACUGGUCUGAGGUGAUGAGCAGGCACGCAGGAACUGAGACACGGUCCAGACUCCUGCGGGAGGCAGCAGUGGGGAAUAUUGAAGAAUGGGCGCAAGCCUGAUGCAGCCAUGCCGCGUGUAUGAAGAAGGCAUUCGGGUUGUAAAGUACUGUCAGCGAGGAGGAAGGCGUUGUGGUUAAUAACCGCAGCGAUUGACGUUACUCGCAGAAGAAGCACCGGCUAACUCCGUGCCAGCCGCCGCCGCAG
rnacentral:rRNA from 1 species